GUGCUCACUUCCGCAACACGUGCACUAAAAUUGGAACGUUACAGAGAAGAUUAGCAUUGCCCCUGCUCAAGGAUGACACGCAAAUUCGUGAAGCGUUCCCUAUUUUU